GCCAACCAAAUGUCCAUGGUUUAAAUGGAGGUGUUGAUACUGAUGAGCAGCAGAUUACCAACUCCAUUCAAAAUGAAAACAAUACUUUCUGGUGAAAAGCGGUAUCUUUGGAAGAUUUCGUCCUCCUCCAGACUCUCAAGGGGAUUACUAAGGUCCCGAAAUACCCGAGGUCGUCUUAAAAUGCGCUGAUUUUGUCUCCUCUGACGUCUGCGUCUGAUCAUAGCAGCCAUUUUUAAUGCUUGAGAACGUUCUUAAGUCUGCAUUUUUGUAGACUCAAAUAUUUGAGAAUAAAACUGAUUUUGAGAAU